rnacentral:rRNA from 1 species
UACGGGGGGGGCAAGCGUUGUUCGGAAUUACUGGGCGUAAAGGGGUUGUAGGCGGCCAACUAAGUCCGACGUGAAAUCCCAAGGCUUAACCUUGGAACUGCGUCGGAUACUGGAUGGCUUGAAUUCGGGAGAGGGAUGCAGAAUUCCAGGUGUAGCGGUGAAAUGCGUAGAUAUUCGGAAGAACACCAGUGGCGAAGGCGGCUCACUGGUCCGGUACUGACGCUGAGGUGCGAAAGCGUGGGGAGCAAACAGG